GGCCGAUCCACACGCACUCUUCUCAGCGGCGGGAAGACAGUCUCUAGACGCAGUUCAGAAGAGAGCCAGGUGUCGCUGUGGUCUUCUGCAUCUGGGACACCGUCGCGUUUUUCUGUCUUGGUUUCAGGAAGGCUCCACCUAAAUCCGCCGAUCCUGCCCGCCUCUUCCCCUCCCUUUCAGGUCCUUCUGAGGAUAUAUUUAGCCAGAAAGAGAUGAGAGGGACACAGAGACACAAGAAAGAUGAAUACCUCUUCUUCUGGAUGUUGUCAUUUCUGAAUGUGAUGCCUGUAACUGAAGCAGCCAUCCUGCAGCCAUGAGGAAGACUAGCCUGAGGACCAAGCAGAAAUGCCGACGUGGCUUUCAGUUCCUGAUGACAUUACCAGCUGCCAUGUUACAUGAGCAGCCCUGUGGAGAGGCCCAUCCAGCAAGAAACUGAAACCUCCUGCCAACAGUCAUGUGAGUGAGCUUAGAAGUGGAUGUUCUAGCCCUUUCAGAUGACUUCAGCCCCUGCUGACAACUGCACUGCAACUUCAUGAGGGUCCCCCAGCCAGAGCCAUCCAGCAAAGCCAAUUCCAGAUUCCCGACCCUCAAAAGCCAUAUGAGAUAAGUAUUGGUUGUUAUAAUCCAUUAAGAGUUAGGUAAUUUGUUAUAUGGCUAUAAAUAACUAAUACAGUAUCCUUUAUUUAUGCAUACAUAUGCAAUAUGAAUAUAGAGUCUGGUCUCUCCCCCAUCUUAUUACAUAAAAGAUAUUGUUCACAUUAUUGUGCACUUUGGUUUUCUUUCCUGAUAAUUUCUCUUACAGAUAUCCCCAUAUAAGUUCAUAGUGAGUUUCACUAUUUUUUUUUUUAUGGUGCUAUAUUGCUUAAUAUACCAGUCUUAUAUUAGUAGACAUUUGGUUUUUUUCUAUCAUUUGCUAUGACAGUGUACUUAAAUUAUCAGCUUGAACAUCAUUUUUGUGUGCAACUGCAUAAAUAAAUUCCCAGAAGUAGAAUUUCUGGUUCAAAGGAUAUAUAAAGUUAUAAUUUUGAUAGAUGCUGCUAAGUUCCCUUCAUAGAGUUCGUGGCAUUUUGCACUCCUCCUAGCUAUUAUGAGAGAACCCAGUUCUUCGCAGUCUUGCCAAAAGGAUGUUACCAAAUUUUGGGAUUGUUGCCAAUUGGAAAAGUAAAAUUAGUAUUCCAGAUUUGCAUUUCUCUUAUUCAGAGUGAAAAUGAGCAUCUUAUAUCCUUUCCUAUAAACUAUCUUUUUAUUAGCUUUGCCCACUUUUUUGUAGGUUGUAGAUCUUCCAUAUUGAUUUCUAGGGACUCUGAUAAACAUGAGGGAGAUUAGCCCUUUGUCCUUCUUUCUCAGUUUGUUUUUGCUUUGACUUUUAAUUAUUAGUUUCAAGUAUA